GGCGCGGAGUGGUCGCCGGGCUCCUGCGGGGCUCUCUCUCUCUCUCUCUCUCUCUCUCCCUCUGCUGCUUCGGGAGGGCGGAGACCGCUCUUCACGUGUCCUGCCCGCGCGUCCACACGACCGGACCGCCCCCGCCUCCCCGGGGCGUGGGGUCCGGCCGCGGAAGGGGCUCCAGAGAGCCGCGUUCUCCCCGCGGGCUCCAGCCGCCGCCCCGCCGCUCGGCAGAGCCAGCAUGUUCGCCGGCGCGCCCCUCUUGCUGGUUGCCCUGAGCCUGGCAGCGCGUCCCGUCUGUGGGGGUGGGAAGAAAUUUUACCAUGGAGUCUGUGGGGGUCGCGAUUGUACAGCCGGCUGCAAGUGCUUCCCCGAGAAAGGCGCUCGGG